UGCUGACAUAGUUUCUUUGUUAAAAUCUACCUGCAAGGUUGACUACGGUGAAGUGGUAAACUCCACACCUCAAGACUGCCUUCAAGAAGAAAAAAAAGGGGAUGAUGGCACUAAUAAGCUACAAGCACUGGGAAACUAAAUCAAGAAAAUGAACACAUAUAUAACUUGUGGUGCUCUGGAAUGGUGUGCUGUGAAGGAAUGCUCAUCCAGCUCAAGUUUCUCAAGAGGCAAGACCUACUGAACGUUCUUACGCACGUGAUGAGGCCAGCUUGUGACCAAGUGGUAUGUACUCACCCCUUCAGAUUAGCUGUGGUGAACGGAUGCCUUCCUUUGGUGUGGCUGUGCUGCUUUUUGUUGUGUCAAU
rnacentral:lncRNA from 1 species